rnacentral:rRNA from 1 species
CCCUUAGAUGUUCUGGGCCGCACGCGCGCUACACUGAUGCAUUCAACGAGUCUAAAACCUGCUCUGAUAGGGGUGGGUAAUCUUUUGAAUGUGCAUCGUGAUUGGGAUAGAUGAUUGCAAUUUUUCAUCUUCAACGAGGAAUGCCUAGUAAACGCAAGUCAUCAGCUUGCAUUGAUUACGUCCCUGCCCUUUGUACACACCGCCCGUCGCUCCUACCGAUCGAAUGAUCCGAUGAAUAUCAUGGAUUGAGGAUUAUAGCAGGUUCGCCUGUCUUGAUCUUCGAGAAGUGAAGUAAAUCUUAUCAUUUAGAGGAAGGAGAAGUCGUAACA